ACGAACGCUGGCGGCGUGCUUAACACAUGCAAGUCGAACGGAAAGGCCCUGCUUUUGUGGGGUGCUCGAGUGGCGAACGGGUGAGUAACACGUGAGUAACCUGCCCUUGACUUUGGGGUAACUUCAGGAAACUGGGGCUAAUACCGGAUAGGAACUACUGCUGCCUGGUGGGGGUUGGAAAGUUUCGGCGGUUGGGGAUGGACUCGCGGCUUAUCAGCUUGUUGGUGGGGUAGUGGCUUACCAAGGCUUUGACGGGUAGCCGGCCUGAGAGGGUGACCGGCCACAUUGGGACUGAGAUACGGCCCAGACUCCUACGGGAGGCAGCAGUGGGGAAUAUUGCACAAUGGGCGGAAGCCUGAUGCAGCAACGCCGCGUGCGGGAUGACGGCCUUCGGGUUGUAAACCGCUUUCGCCUGUGACGAAGCGUGAGUGACGGUAAUGUGUAAAGAAGCACCGGCUAACUACGUG
rnacentral:rRNA from 1 species